CCCCUAACAUCUCCUACAGAUCAGAGUAACCGCCCCCAACAUGUCCUACAGGUCAGAGUCACCGCCACUAACAUCUCCUACAGGUCAGAGUCACCGCCCAUAACAUCUCCUACAGGUCAGAGUCACCGCCCCUGACAUCUCUUACAGGUCAGAGUUACCGCCCCUAACAUCUCCUGCAGGUCAGAGUCACCGCCCCUAACUUCUCUUACAGGUCAGAGUCACCGCCCCUAACAUCUCUUACAGGUCAGAGUCACCGCCCCUAACGUCUCCUACAGGUCUGAGUCACCGCCCCUAACAUCUCUUACAGGUCAGAGUCACCGCCCCUAACAUCUCCUACAGGUCAGUGCCACCACCCCUAACAUCUCCUACAGGUCAGAGUCACCGCCCCUAACAUCUCUUACAGGUCAGAGUCACAGCCCCUAACAUCUCUUACAGGUCAGAGUUACCGCCCCUAACAUCUCCUGCAGGUCAGAGUCACCGCCCCUAACAUCUCUUACAGGUCAGAGUCACCGCCCCUAACAUCUCUUACAGGUCAUGGUCACCGCCCCUAACAUCUCUUACAGGUCAUAGUCACCGCCCCUAACAUCUCCUACAGGUCAGAGUCACCGCCCCUAACAUCUCUUACAGGUCAGAGCCACCGCCCCUAACAUCUCUUACAGGUCAGAGUCUCCGCCCCUAACAUCUCUUACAGGUCAGAGCCAACCCCAGAGGGAAGAGGAGAAAGGUGGACUGGACUGGAGGGUCAUGUUUUGUUUUGAGUAACACUAACGUGGACUCAAACUCUCUUUACAUUACAGUCAUAGAAUACAAAAGAGCAGAAACAGAUCUGAGACUAGGCUAGCAAAUAUCUUUACAGAUCUGAGACUAGGCUAGCAAAUAUCUUUACAGAUCUGAGACUAGGCUAGCAAAUAUCUUUACAGAUCUGAGACUAGGCUAGCAAAUAUCUUUACAGAUCUGAGACUAGGCUAGCAAAUAUCUUUACAGAUCUGAGACUAGGCUAGCAAAUAUCUUUACAUAUCUGAGACUAGGCUAGCAAAUAUCUUUACAGAUCUGAGACUAGGCUAGCAAAUUAUCUUUACAGAUCUGAGACUAGGCUAGCAAAUAACUUCAGUAUAGCCUGUAUUAUGUAGCCCUGAUUUUUAUGUCUCUGGUUUCUUUAUAAACAGUGUCCGGCUGCUGAUCAUUGUGUCUCUCUUGUCUCUGUCUGUCAGACAGUGUCCGGCUGAAGAGCUGCCCUUCGCAGCUCAGUGGAACUGGUGACGGCCAUGACUGCCUGACCGGCCGCAGUUCCUCCAAGGAAGCCCAUAGGAUCCUGCAUCCUAAAGGCCGUCUCUAUCCGCUCAACUGUACCAUGGACAUGGAGAUCCAUCAUGGCGACUGCUACCACACACUCAACAGUCCUCAAGUUUUAUGCUGCCCUCCUGCCCUAUCGUAACCUCUGUCUGGGCCCCAACUCUGUGGCUCUCUACAAACAGUCCUACAACUCCAUCCCCUACACAGAGAAAGAAUGACUGUUGGCUGUGAUGGAGGUGACCUCCCCAGAGACUGAGGUUGUGGUCGGAGUCAGGUAUUUCUACCUGCUAGCCUGCAAGCCAGAGGACUAGCUACAGAUGACUGAGACUAUGAUGUUUCCCCUGUGGAAACUUAAAUAUUUAGUUAGUGAUGAACAAUUAAGGAAGUUGUUAUUACUGUUGUCACGUCCUGACCAUAGAGAGCUGUUUAUUCUCUAUGUUGGUUGGGGCGUGACAGUGACUACGGUGGGUUAUCGAGGUGAUUAAUGAUUUAUGUUGGCCUGGUAUGGUUCCCAAUCAGAGGCAGCUGUUUAUCGUUGUCUCUGAUUGGGGAUCAUAUUUAGGCAGCCAUUUUCCCCAUUGUGCUUUGUGGGAUCUUGACUAUGUAUAGUUGCCUGUGAGCACUAUUGUAGCGUCACGUUUUGUUCUUUUAUUGUU